GUAUUUCACUUUUUGCCUGAUAUUCACGUUUAAAAGUGAAAAGGAAGCUACUGCAGAGUGAACACUCAUCGCUAGGGAAACUCGAUCAAAUUUAAAUGAAUGAACGAAACUUAAAAUAUUGGGCAGAUAAAGUAGUCUUUAAGUCUAGUCACUAAUAAUAUGGAGCUACAGUACUGUCUGUAAAACAUCUGUGGAAUCAAACAAAUUGGGUAUAGAGAGAUCCUAUCAAAUACACAACAAUUUGAAUGUUAUGAGAAGAGCAUAAACAAUAUUAGCUUAAUAACUAAAAUAAGACCCCAUCAGCAACAUUUAAUAACGUUGGGUUAUUAGUCGAAACCACACAGUGAAUUGCCAUGAAGGCGCAUAAUAAUUCCAUAUGGCAAACGCGUAGACCAAUUUCAAAGAACUACUAGAUAUAACUAAAUUGCAUUAAAUUGCAAAUGCGAUGCUUUGUUGCCUGCCAACGCUGCAUAUGCGCACAUAGAGUCCCACAUAUCGGUAAUAGCUGGCACGACUUGCCGAACGUACCAUCGUCCGUUGGGGGGCAAAAUUGCAGCCAUUCUACGUAUCUCAUGUCACAAUCUAAGGUUCAAGAAACUUUGCCAGCCAGCAACUCUCCAAACAAUUGACUUCUAUGGAGACUUCUGCCAUACAGCUUGCCUGAGCAUCGAACGUUCCGAUGGAUGCUAGAAAAGCAACUCUAACUAAGGAGUGCAACAAACCAAACAACCCGGCAUUUGCUUCCUGCUAUGCAACAAAACGAUGACAGUGGAAGCUACAGCGGCAGCGACGGCACUGGAUAGAGGCAGCUAGUUGGAGUUUCAUGCAGCAUCCCCGGAGUAGCAGCGGCGACGGCAGCGAUGGCAAUCGAGCAAUUCGUAACGGACAAAACAACGACAAGUACAAGAAUAAAGUGAGCAACGAGCAGGAGUACAAAGGGGAGGAGGUGAGCGCAAAUGUGGUGUUGAAUGCAUCGCUAACACAAAUGUAAGCUGCUGGCACCGACGUGUUGCAUGUGUGUGUGCUGAAAAGAAUAAAAUAAAAUCAUAACGGGUGCCAGUAAGCAGGAAUGCUGCAGAGGAUGUCGCUGCUGUGUGCUGGCAGAGUCCACAGAGGGAGAUUAUAGAUGUACAGGAGAAGUCGGUGGAUAGGAUCAGAGGCAAGUCUUACACACUGACUUGCAUGAACUUGCAUUUAAAUGUCUUUGUGUGUGUGUUUGCGGAUAGAUAAAACGGCUGUAACAACAAACAAUUCUUAGAGCGUGAAAUGCACACCGUAAUUCUUUCCAGGGAGCUCACAAUAAACAGGCAGUCAAGGCAGGGCUUUUGGCACAUAGGUAUGUAUGUGCUACUACAAGCUACGGCAAAACUCAACGUCACAAUGUUGCAUGCCACAAGUCACAUAGGCGGUCCAAUAAACUAUUGAAUCUUUAAUAAAAUA